rnacentral:rRNA from 1 species
GCCUGUUUAUCAAAAACAUGGCCUUUUGUGAAUAAUUUAAGGUCUGGCCUGCCCAAUGAUUUGGUUAAAUGGCCGCGGUACUCUGACCGUGCAAAGGUAGCAUAAUCAUUAGUUUUUUAAUUGAAAGCUGGUAUGAACGGUCGGACAAGAAAAUUACUGUCUCAAUUUAAUGGUUUUAGAAUUUUAUUUUUUAGUCAGAAGGCUAAAAUGGUCUUAAGGGACGAGAAGACCCUAUAGAAUUUUAUAAAUUUUAUUGGGUUGGGUUUUUAGGUUUAUUAGUUAGACUUAGUAAAAUUUAUUUUGUUGGGGUGAUGGAAAAAUUUAAGAAACUUUUUUUGUAAAAAAAUCAUUAAUUUAUGAUUGGGUGAUCCGUUUAUAGCGAUUACAAGAUUAAAUUACCUUAGGGAUAACAGCGUUAUUAGUCUGGGGAGUUCUUAUCGAUAGACUAGUUUGCGACCUCGAUGUUGGAUUAAAAUAAACUUUUGGUGUAGGGGCUGGAAAGUUAAGUCUGUUCGACUUUUAAAAUUUUACAUGAUCUGAGUUCAGACCGG